rnacentral:siRNA from 1 species
CCACAAGUUAGCGUGUCUAGCCGC